ACACGGCUCCACUUUCCCGGAGACAGCCGGAGGGAGAGACAGAAGACGGCUGACAGUUCUGCUGGAAAUCAGCCAAUCUUGACCUGAUGGACCAGACAAAUUUGAAUGCGGACAUAGGAUGAUUAGUACAAAAUGACUGCCUUUUUUGAGACAGUGACCCAUGCUAACGAAAAUGUCAUGUUGAAGGUUAGUGUCUGCAUUUUCCAAACAUUUCUCAUUUUUAUCCUUGUUUAAAUACACAGUAGACACGUCUAAUCGUAUAGUACGCGACCUGUUGUCCUUUCUUCCAUCCAGCUCAGCAUGUUCUGUGCUAUUAAUGAUGCUUAGAUAAGCAUUACUGCCAGAGACAUCUGUUUCUAGAAGAAGAUAAAAGGGAAGUCUUGUACUUCAAGAAGAAAGGUGGAAAUGAUCAUGCUGUGCUGUUAUCAAUGCUGAGUUUUUUUUCUAGUUUGAAUGAGGGGUAGAACAUCUGAUGACAGUGUGAUAUGUCAGAAUCAGUUACACAAAUUGGUUCUUUCACACAGUUUUUUUUUUUUUUUCAAAGAACUUAUUCAAAAUAUUGAUUCAUCAGAUCUUUACAUCAUCAUGUGGUCUCUGACAUUCUGGCAUGGCAUUACAUGCUCUAAAGCAUUCAAAGAAAGCCAUAUGUAGCCAUUUAUAACUUUUUAAAUACAUUUUUUUAAUACGGUAACCUUUUAGGUUUUUAAUAGCGUUGUUAUCUUAUACACAAUGAUAGUGGUAUGAUUUUCAAAAACCCAUUAUCAAAAGUU